AGCAGCCUGCACAAAGUAGGAGAGAGCUAAGUGCGUUGUGAAGAGCGAGCAAUAUCUGUGAUAUUACCUGUUGUGACCUGGACUGUCGGACUACAUCCCUUGUGUACCGGACCGGAUUGGCUGAGGAGCCGAGUGUGAGGAUUACUCCUGGAAAACGGAAUGGACAACGAAAACGGCUUGUGGACUGUGAGAUGGAGAGGAGAGGCAGGAGAUGGCUCCCCUGGCGAAUGAACUCCAGGCAACACCGGCCAGUCAGAUAACAACAAGAUGGAGACCCAUCCAACAUGUGUGAACAUCGUCCAGCCACUUCUGUAGAAAAGUUUUGCCGCCCUGACUCUGGCUCCUGAUCCACAUCUCACCACCCUGCUACCCUAUUCUAGACCACACCACCACUCCCUUGGAUUCCCCUCCGGACCUGUAUACCCUGUCCCAACCCAGCUCACUCCAACCUCAGCCUCCACAUCUGGUUUCCUACAACUCAUCCAAGCAUCCCCGGAUCUGCACUCCGUAUCUCCCUGUGUUACAAUAAAUAACUAGGUUCAUUCAUCUCUGUUUCCUCAUCUGAGUCUGCUCUAGGGUUCCCCUGUGCUGCUCUACUUAACAAACAGCAGUUAAGCAUCGCUCAUCAUGUCACCAGAAUAAGACCCUCUAUAUUUAUUGGAAAGCAUCAUCAAGCUCAUCACCGUGCACUUUCAACACCCUGUGAAGUUCACCGUAACUUAUUUAAUCUGUAGCCUAUUAAACUGCAGUCGUAGUGGGAGGACCACAUACCAUCUCAUCGCCUGACUCCAAAUUGACUUCGAUAUGAUUGUUAUUAUAUAUAUAUUUGCACAUAAAGGCGUGUGCAGACACAAAAAGACCCCACCAUGUCAAACAAAAUAAGUAGGCCAUUAGGCUAAUUACACCAAAACUUCUUGUUUCCAUCAAAGUUGUUGUG